rnacentral:misc_RNA from 1 species
AAGUCGUAACAAGGUUUCCGUAGGUGAACCUGCGGAAGGAUCAUUAUCGAAUUUAAAGCUUGGUUGAGCUGUCGCUUCGGCGUACGUGCUCGCCUCGCCGUCCAUUCUCAACACCUGUGCACACUCAAGUCUUCUUCCGUUUCUCUUCUUGCCGGUACUGCUUCUCUUCACGGAGGAGUGGGAAAGUGAAAGGGGGAAUUGGGGGAAUGGCUGCCUUUUAACACACCCUUCUUUUAAAAUGUCUAUGAACGUCAAAUGUAGGCUCGCCUUAAAAACGUGAUGCUGAAAUUAAAAAUUAUACAACUUUUAACAACGGAUCUCUUGGCUCUC